UUCCCGUUCGUAUAACGGCUAGUAUGCUCGCUUGUCAAGGACUAUCGCGGGAGAUCGGAGUUCGAUUCUCCGACGGGAAG
rnacentral:tRNA from 1 species